GACGAACCGUGCGAACGUUGUUCGGAUUCACUGGGCUUAAAGGGCGCGUAGGCGGGCGACCAAGUCAGGGGUGAAAUCUUUCGGCUCAACCGGAAAACUGCCCCUGAUACUGGCCGUCUUGAGGGAGGUAGGGGUCUGUGGAACUUCUGGUGGAGCGGUGAAAUGCGUAGAUAUCAGAAGGAACGCCGGUGGCGAAAGCGACGGACUGGACCUCAUCUGACGCUGAGGCGCGAAAGCUAGGGUAGCGAACGGG
rnacentral:rRNA from 1 species